rnacentral:rRNA from 1 species
GACGAACGCUGGCGGCGUGCUUAACACAUGCAAGUCGAACGGAAAGGCUCUGCUUUUGUGGGGUGCUCGAGUGGCGAACGGGUGAGUAACACGUGAGUAACCUGCCCUUGACUUUGGGAUAACUUCAGGAAACUGGGGCUAAUACCGGAUAGGAGCUCCUGCUGCAUGGUGGGGGUUGGAAAGUUUCGGCGGUUGGGGAUGGACUCGCGGCUUAUCAGCUUGUUGGUGGGGUAGUGGCUUACCAAGGCUUUGACGGGUAGCCGGCCUGAGAGGGUGACCGGCCACAUUGGGACUGAGAUACGGCCCAGACUCCUACGGGAGGCAGCAGUGGGGAAUAUUGCACAAUGGGCGGAAGCCUGAUGCAGCAACGCCGCGUGCGGGAUGACGGCCUUCGGGUUGUAAACCGCUUUCGCCUGUGACGAAGCGUGAGUGACGGUAAUGGGUAAAGAAGCACCCGCUAACUACGUG